ACUCCUGCGGGAGGCAGCAGUGGGGAAUAUUGGACAAUGGGCGCAAGCCUGAUCCAGCCAUGCCGCGUGAGUGAUGAAGGCCCUAGGGUUGUAAAGCUCUUUCACCGGUGAAGAUAAUGACGGUAACCGGAGAAGAAGCCCCGGCUAACUUCGUGCCAGCAGCCGCGGUAAUACGAAGGGGGCUAGCGUUGUUCGGAUUUACUGGGCGUAAAGCGCACGUAGGCGGACUAUUAAGUCAGGGGUGAAAUCCCGGGGCUCAACCCCGGAACUGCCUUUGAUACUGGUAGUCUUGAGUUCGAGAGAGGUGAGUGGAAUUCCGAGUGUAGAGGUGAAAUUCGUAGAUAUUCGGAGGAACACCAGUGGCGAAGGCGGCUCACUGGCUCGAUACUGACGCUGAGGUGCGAAAGCGUGGGGAGCAAACAGGAUUAGAAACCCUGGUAGUCCCAUGA
rnacentral:rRNA from 1 species